UUAUAAUCAUUCCUACUAAAACUCGCUUUAGAUGGGAAAACGUUGGUUUUGUUCGCAUCUUGUGAUGAAAAUGGGUGAAUGAUGAUGCGGCCUUUGACAAGAAGUCUAACUUCUUGAAAUUUGAAAAUCGGCGCGUGUGUCGGACCUUCUUACUCUUGAUACUGACUGACACUUAAAUUUGUUAAACGCGGAACGGGUCAGGCUAUAUGAAUACUUUCGGACACUCCAAAACAUAUAUUUCGCCUUGAUAGUCGCAGGAAGUGUUCCAAGGAAUAAUCUAGUGUGUGCCAUUUCUGCAGUGACCACCGAACUGCGGUGCCGAGGUCUUUCAUAUUUCGGGAUACGUGAAAUAGCGAGUACAUAUCGCAGCUCAUAUAGGGUGCGAUCUAUCCGGACGAAACGUAAUAAAGCUAAUAUCCACGAAAAAUACAUUAAUUUUGAGGAAGAUUUUACCAUGGUGUGCGCAAUCUAAGGAUGGUUUCCUACUUGCCAGCAACCACAGCACUUGGACUAUCUCUUAACACUUCAAUGUGUACAGACUCAGUGACAUAAAACAAAUUGUCUUCGAUGCUAAUUCAAUUCUGAUUGUCUGUAUUCAUAUUCACUAUUGAAAAAUAGAUACAGAUACACAGAGAUAUAAAACAAUUUCAUCUCAUCACAAGAAUGUGAAUGUGCCGAAGACUUGGAAGACUUGGAUAAAUGUUGCAUAAAGUUUGAUUUAUUUGAAUCCGUACAAACCGGUCACGUACAAAAGUUUCUCCAAACAAUCAUUAUGGUUGCGAACGAAAAACUUUGCAUCAUUUGUCAAAUAUACUCGAAUCGUUUGGAGAAGCGGAAUAACGUUUAACCCAUAACUCAUUACUAAGUCUAGAUACAUCUGCAUGUGUAGGCUAUUUUUCGCUUGAACUUUGACAUCGAGAAGGGCAUUUUUCCGCGGGCCAGCAUUUUAGUGAGCUAACUCGAAAGAUCCUGCUGUCUCAAACAUCAAUUAACGUCAUCCCGCAAAAGCAGGUUAUUUUUAUAUAGCAAUUUUCAAUCUUAGCUCAGCCUUUUCGAUAUUGGUUAACCAAAGUCAGAUGUGAAGAAAAAUAAAUUCGUCUGUAACCAAAUGCCAUAUUAGUACACUCCAAUGAAACUGGAAACAUCGUCUACGAUAUGAACCCCGCAUCUUCUUGCAUCACCAACGAGAUGAUUUUUCAAUUAACGCCAAAUAGAGUGUUUGUUGCCGAAGUUUAUUGUCGUCAAGACCGUAGAACGUUUCCGCAUCCAGGCAGAGUUGAAAUCGCUCCGGAAGCAGAAUAAGAAGACAGCAAUUUCAUAUGAAGCGCAUCAUCCAAUUCCAUUGUCCUGCAUUGGCUUCUUGGCAAAAUAUUUAAGCAGCACUGGAAUUGCCGCCAACAUUCUUAUCUUACAACGCAACUUUGCUGGUUCAUGGCAGGCGCACUGUUUGUUUUGCAACAAAGUAUUUGGAGUAGCGGAUUAAGAUAGAAAUGACUGCAACAGGUUAAAGAAAGUGUCACUUCGGAUGGAGUCGUUGCGCCACACGAGAGUUGGUUUUCGCAGGCCAUUCUAUUUGCACUUCAAGUAAAAAGACAUCACUGAAACAGAUAUAUCACAGAUACAACUAAAUUUUGCUACUUUACCGCAAAAGCCUCGAACCUCCACGUCAUUAGUGACUUAACCAGUGAUGCGUUCUUGGGUUGGCAAAAACCGCUGAGUAACCAGUCUCGUUUGUUACGAGCCAAAUCUAAAUUGGGAAUGUGAAAUGAAGCAAAGCGGAUGUCCAUGCCAACAUCACCUAUUGAACACCACGCUUUCACUAGAUUCGAUACUAAAGCUCGGAUGUAUUGGAACGUUGAAGUAGAACUUUAAUUUGACCAGGGAGUAUAUUAGAGUUCAUAAUAACAACUCUGAAAUGGAAAGUAGUCAAAAUAAGGUGUUUUGAAGACUUUGAGCGUUUGAUUGAUUUAUUACAGACAAUGCAAUGCAGGUCUUUGCCUCUUUGUAAUAGACGAGAAUAAAAAGCAAAUGUGAAGCGACGCACAGCUAGUUGAGACUUUGUAACACACAAGCGUAAUAAAUGUUUUCGUUUCGAAACUCUUAAUUCUUCUUAGUAAAACAACCGUAAAUAAAAAGUACAUAUUGUCUGCCAUUAUCAUAAAAAAUAACCUGUCUUUAUUAGAAAUUCAUUAUAUGCAUUCAUUAGUCCCAAAAUUGAUAAAGCUGUAAUAAACCUAACCUCUAAAAAAUAUUUACAGCCCGAACGUUGUCAUUCUAAGGCUAGAAGAAGUAUUAAAUAAUAUAAAUAAUUAUUGAAAUAGCUUGUGCGAUUCAAAGAAAAUAUUGUUAUGCAUUAAUAAACCGCGAAAAUAAGUGAAAAUAUUUGAUCACUAAAAUUAACUGAGACUGUUUUUUUCUUAGAAAUCUUUGAUGUUUUAAAAAUUCUGAUCGAAUAACCAUGCACUAAAGCGUAGAAAUCGCUUAAAAUGGCGUUCUAAACUGUCUGCAAUAAUGCUUUAUUGAUUCAAAUAAGUAGUGGUCCGAAAUUUUGCAAAGUUUUGCAAAUUCAGCGGAUGUAAUGUAAUCCCUGCUUAAUGUUUCGAAUUUUCCUCAUCCAUUUUCUAUCGCGAUUCACGGUCCAUCUGACAAUUUAUAUUUUUUUUUUUUAAAUAAAUAGGAAAAGAAACUCUUCUCAAAAUGAUUUUCUUUAGCACACAAUUCGGCAUAUUCAAAACUCCAAAAAAUCAUGCCCGAUGCCCUUCGACGAGAUCGUAUUUAUCAUGGUAUAAAAACUAAACGUACUAAAAUGGCAUGAAGAAGACACUACAUUAC